GAUGAACGCUGGCGGCGUGCCUAAUACAUGCAAGUCGAGCGAACGGACGAGAAGCUUGCUUCUCUGAUGUUAGCGGCGGACGGGUGAGUAACACGUGGAUAACCUACCUAUAAGACUGGGAUAACUUCGGGAAACCGGAGCUAAUACCGGAUAAUAUUUUGAACCGCAUGGUUCAAAAGUGAAAGACGGUCUUGCUGUCACUUAUAGAUGGAUCCGCGCUGCAUUAGCUAGUUGGUAAGGUAACGGCUUACCAAGGCAACGAUGCAUAGCCGACCUGAGAGGGUGAUAAGCCACACUGGAACUGAGACACGGUCCAGACUCCUACGGGAGGCAGCAGUGGGGAAUAUUGGACAAUGGGCGAAAGCCUGACGCAGCAAUGCCGCGUGAGUGAAGAAGGUCUUCGGAUUGUAAAGCACUGUAAGUUGGGAGGAACGGAAGUAAGAUAAUACGUUGCUGUCUUGACGUUACCAAAAGAAAAAGCACCGGCUAACUACGUG
rnacentral:rRNA from 1 species